GACGAACGCUGGCGGCGUGCUUAACACAUGCAAGUCGAACGGAAAGGCCCUGCUUUUGUGGGGUGCUCGAGUGGCGAACGGGUGAGUAACACGUGAGUAACCUGCCCUUGACUUUGGGAUAACUUCAGGAAACUGGGGCUAAUACCGGAUAGGAGCUCCUGCUGCAUGGUGGGGGUUGGAAAGUUUCGGCGGUUGGGGAUGGACUCGCGGCUUAUCAGCUUGUUGGUGGGGUAGUGGCUUACCAAGGCUUUGACGGGUAGCCGGCCUGAGAGGGUGACCGGCCACAUGGGGACUGAGAUACGGACCAGACUCCUACGGGAGGCAGCAGUGGGGAAUCUUGCACAAUGGGCGGAAGCCUGAUGCAGCAACGCCGCGUGCGGGAUGACGGCCUUCGGGUUGUAAACCGCUUUCGCCUGUGACGAAGCGUGAGUGACGGUAAUGGGUAAAGAAGCACCGGCUAACUACGUG
rnacentral:rRNA from 1 species